UGCGCGCGGCCGAGUGCACCCGUGCGAGCACAGGAUGAUCGGCCACGCGCAGGCCAGCAUCGGUUUGGGUGGCUGGAUAAAGGCCUUGGGAAUGUGGCUCUCUCCGGGGAGUGUUAUAGCCCAAGGUGCCAUGCAGCCCACCUGGACCGAGGACCGCGCUCCGGCUAGGAUGCUGGCGUAAUGGUUGUAAGCGA
rnacentral:rRNA from 1 species